AAAUGCUAGACCUUCUCUAAUGGGAGGUUUUUAGAGAGAUUUUAAAUGUUUCUUAAGAAAAAAAAUAAAUCAGAUAAAAGAAAAAAUAUAAGAGAGCCUCUUAUAUAGUAUACUCAAAUUUGGAAUAAGAGACCCUACAUGUCACGUUUAUGUUGGCCAAUGAAAUUAAUAGAAGAGGAAAAAGGAAGGAAAUGGAAGUGAAAUUAUUUUGUUUCCUGCUAGAUUUUUUCUUUAUUUUUCUCUCUGUUUCUCUCUCUUUUUCUUGCAAUAAAAGUCCCGAAUCGAAAAAGGAAGGAAAUGGAAUCGAAGAAUAUGGAAUCAGAGGAGGUUGGGGUCAGAGGCGAUGCGUAGCGGAGGAGAUUUCGGCGGAGGUGAUGCGUAGCGGAGGAGAUUUCACGAUUAGCGAUUUGUAGAAGAUAAUUCAGUGGGCCUUGACACAACAAAGGCCCAACUCUCUCAAGUCCAAGUCCAGUCAAUCUCACACAAUCAAACUCAGCAGAAACAGACAAAGAACAAAGCUGUCACACUCUUGAGCAGUAAGACCGUUGACGACAGUACGAAAAAGACGACGACGACGUGCUCAGAUAAGAACAAGUUUGGUCCUCUGCAAGGUUUACCUGGUCCUCUGCAAGGUUUACCUGAUGACUCGCCAUAUACAGCUGUGAGCUAAGGAUAAGUUAUCUUUAUUCUUAUUCUAGAUUGUGCCAAAGAUGUGUAUAUAACAAACUUGUAAAAACCCAAUUCAUCAGUAAAGUAAAUACAAGAUAUUUUUCACAAA